CCGAAGCUGCGGCAGCGACACUAUGUGUUGUUGGGUAGGGGAGCGUUCUGUAAGCCUGUGAAGGUGUGCUGUGAGGCAUGCUGGAGGUAUCAGAAGUGCGAAUGCUGACAUAAGUAACGAUAAAGCGGGUGAAAAGCCCGCUCGCCGGAAGACCAAGGGUUCCUGUCCAACGUUAAUCGGGGCAGGGUGAGUCGACCCCUAAGGCGAGGCCGAAAGGCGUAGUCGAUGGGAAACAGGUUAAUAUUCCUGUACUUGGUGUUACUGCGAAGGGGGGACGGAGAAGGCUAUGUUGGCCGGGCGACGGUUGUCCCGGUUUAAGCGUGUAGGCUGAUUUUCCAGGCAAAUCCGGAAAAUCAAGGCUGAGGCGUGAUGACGAGGCACUACGGUGCUGAAGCAACAAAUGCCCUGCUUCCAGGAAAAGCCUCUAAGCAUCAGGUAACAUCAAAUCGUACCCCAAACCGACACAGGUGGUCAGGUAGAGAAUACCAAGGCGCUUGAGAGAACUCGGGUGAAGGAACUAGGCAAAAUGGUGCCGUAACUUCGGGAGAAGGCACGCUGAUAUGUAGGUGAAGCGACUUGCUCGUGGAGCUGAAAUCAGUCGAAGAUACCAGCUGGCUGCAACUGUUUAUUAAAAACACAGCACUGUGCAAACACGAAAGUGGACGUAUACGGUGUGACGCCUGCCCGGUGCCGGAAGGUUAAUUGAUGGGGUUAGCGGUAACGCGAAGCUCUUGAUCGAAGCCCCGGUAAACGGCGGCCGUAACUAUAACGGUCCUAAGGUAGCGAAAUUCCUUGUCGGGUAAGUUCCGACCUGCACGAAUGGCGUAAUGAUGGCCAGGCUGUCUCCACCCGAGACUCAGUGAAAUUGAACUCGCUGUGAAGAUGCAGUGUACCCGCGGCAAGACGGAAAGACCCCGUGAACCUUUACUAUAGCUUGACACUGAACAUUGAGCCUUGAUGUGUAGGAUAGGUGGGAGGCUUUGAAGUGUGGACGCCAGUCUGCAUGGAGCCGACCUUGAAAUACCACCCUUUAAUGUUUGAUGUUCUAACGUUGGCCCGUUAUCCGGGUUGCGGACAGUGUCUGGUGGGUAGUUUGACUGGGGCGGUCUCCUCCUAAAGAGUAACGGAGGAGCACGAAGGUUGGCUAAUCCUGGUCGGACAUCAGGAGGUUAGUGCAAUGGCAUAAGCCAGCUUGACUGCGAGCGUGACGGCGCGAGCAGGUGCGAAAGCAGGUCAUAGUGAUCCGGUGGUUCUGAAUGGAAGGGCCAUCGCUCAACGGAUAAAAGGUACUCCGGGGAUAACAGGCUGAUACCGCCCAAGAGUUCAUAUCGACGGCGGUGUUUGGCACCUCGAUGUCGGCUCAUCACAUCCUGGGGCUGAAGUAGGUCCCAAGGGUAUGGCUGUUCGCCAUUUAAAGUGGUACGCGAGCUGGGUUUAGAACGUCGUGAGACAGUUCGGUCCCUAUCUGCCGUGGGCGCUGGAGAACUGAGGGGGGCUGCUCCUAGUACGAGAGGACCGGAGUGGACGCAUCACUGGUGUUCGGGUUGUCAUGCCAAUGGCACUGCCCGGUAGCUAAAUGCGGAAGAGAUAAGUGCUGAAAGCAUCUAAGCACGAAACUUGCCCCGAGAUGAGUUCUCCCUGACUCCUUGAGAGUCCUGAAGGAACGUUGAAGACGACGACGUUGAUAGGCCGGGUGUGUAAGCGCAGCGAUGCGUUGAGCUAACCGGUACUAAUGAACCGUGAGG
rnacentral:rRNA from 1 species